ACUUUUAUAGGAUAGAAGUAAUCC
rnacentral:tRNA from 1 species